AGGCCCAGGCCUACAAGGAAAGCGAGGGCUGAGGAAGGACGGCGGGAGGACUGCAGAGGGAGGCAGGCAGAGUGAGGGCGGCAGGCAGACAGCAGGAGUGAGUGGGCGCCAAGAGCUGGGGGGGAGGCCCACAGGGAGAGAGAAGGCAGAGGGCAGAGGGCAAGGCUGACACUGGAAUGUGGGGGCGGCGAGGCCCACAGGGGAACUGAGGGCGGCUCUCUGCAGGGUCAGAGGCAUUGGGCUUUCAGGGUCGCUUUUCUGCGAACUUCCGCUUGUUCCCGAGGUGGUGCCUGCCUGUGUCGUCGUCCCUGUUUGUUCUCCUACAAACCUCAGGAGUUUUCCAUGUUUCCCAGACCUUAAGCUUUGGAAUAAUUCACCAGUGAAGUCAUCUUGGCCUGGACGGAAAUUGGAUCCUCACAACAAUCACAAUAGCUUUGAAGGUGAUCCUUCCCCAGGACAGAGUCUUGCUGUGUCUCCCAGGCUGGAAUGCAGUG